CUGCUUUGGCAGCGCAUAUACUAAAAAUUGGAACGAUACAGAGAACAUUAGCAUGGCCCCUGCACAAGGAUGACACCCAUAGUUUUAAGUAAAAUUCAGUGGACAU
rnacentral:snRNA from 1 species